UACGUAGGUGGCAAGCGUUGUCCGGAAUCACUGGGCGUAAAGCGCGCGCAGGCGGCGAUCUACGUCUGGGGUGAAAGCCCGGAGCUCAACUCCGGGACUGCCUUGGAUACGGGAUCGCUUGAGGAUUGGAGAGGCAAGGGGAAUUCCACGUGUAGCGGUGAAAUGCGCAGAUAUCAGGAGGAACACCAGCGGCGAAGGCGGCGCUCUGGGCCGGUACUGACGCUGAGGAGCGAAAGCGUGGGUAGCAAACAGG
rnacentral:rRNA from 1 species